UGGGGAAUAUUGGACAAUGGGCGAAAGCCUGAUCCAGCCAUGCCGCGUGUGUGAAGAAGGUCUUCGGAUUGUAAAGCACUUUAAGUUGGGAGGAAGGGCAUUAACCUAAUACGUUAGUGUUUUGACGUUACCGACAGAAUAAGCACCGGCUAACUCUGUGCCAGCAGCCGCGGUAAUACAGAGGGUGCAAGCGUUAAUCGGAAUUACUGGGCGUAAAGCGCGCGUAGGUGGUUUGUUAAGUUGGAUGUGAAAUCCCCGGGCUCAACCUGGGAACUGCAUUCAAAACUGACUGACUAGAGUAUGGUAGAGGGUGGUGGAAUUUCCUGUGUAGCGGUGAAAUGCGUAGAUAGAGGAAGGAACACCAGUGGCGAAGGCGACCACCUGGACUAAUACUGACACUGGGGUGCGAAAGCGUGGGGAGCAAACA
rnacentral:rRNA from 1 species